UACGGAGGGGACUAGCGUUGUUCGGAAUUACUGGGCGUAAAGCGCACGUAGGCGGAUUUGUAAGUCAGGGGUGAAAUCCCGGGGCUCAACCUCGGAACUGCCUUUGAUACCGCAAAUCUCGAGUCCGGAAGAGGUGAGUGGAAUUCCUAGUGUAGAGGUGAAAUUCGUAGAUAUUAGGAAGAACACCAGUGGCGAAGGCGGCUCACUGGUCCGGUACUGACGCUGAGGCACGAAGGCCAGGGGAGCAAACGGG
rnacentral:rRNA from 1 species